GACGAACGCUGGCGGCGCGCUUAACACAUGCAAGUCGAACGGAAAGGCCUGCUUUCCCUUGUGGAUUGCGGGUACUCGAGUGGCGAACGGGUGAGUAACACGUGAGUGAUCUGCCCCCAACUUGGGUAUAAGCCUGGGAAACUGGGUCUAAUUCCCGAUAGGACUGCAGGGUGGUGCCUGUGGUGGAAAACGAUUUUCUAGUGGUUGGGGAUGAGCUCGCGGCCUACCAGCUUGUUGGUGGGGUAAUGGCCUACCAAGGCGGCGACGGGUAGCCGGCCUGAGAGGGUGGACGGCCACAUUGGGACUGAGAUACGGCCCAGACUCCUACGGGAGGCAGCAGUGGGGAAUAUUGCACAGUGGGCGGAAGCCUGAUGCAGCGACGCCGCGUGGGGGAUGACGGCCUUCGGGUUGUAAACUCCUUUCGACCGCGAGGAAGCCACCUGGUUGGAAGGGUGGUGACGGUAGUGGUAGAAGAAGCACCGGCUAACUACGUG
rnacentral:rRNA from 1 species